rnacentral:rRNA from 1 species
AGUGAACGCUGGCGGUAGGCCUAACACAUGCAAGUCGAACGGCAGCACAGUAAGAGCUUGCUCUUACGGGUGGCGAGUGGCGGACGGGUGAGGAAUACAUCGGAAUCUACUUUUUCGUGGGGGAUAACGUAGGGAAACUUACGCUAAUACCGCAUACGACCUACGGGUGAAAGCAGUGGAUCUUCGGACCUUGCGCGAUUCAAUGAGCCGAUGUCGGAUUAGCUAGUUGGCGGGGUAAAGGCCCACCAAGGCGACGAUCCGUAGCUGGUCUGAGAGGAUGAUCAGCCACACUGGAACUGAGACACGGUCCAGACUCCUAAGGGAGGCAGCAGUGGGGAAUAUUGGACAAUGGGCGCAAGCCUGAUCCAGCCAUACCGCGUGGGUGAAGAAGGCCUUCGGGUUGUAAAGCCCUUUUGUUGGGAAAGAAAAGCAGCAGGUUAAUACCCCGCUGUUCUGACGGUACCCAAAGAAUAAGCACCGGCUAACUUCGUG